rnacentral:rRNA from 1 species
CAAUAGCGUAUAUUAAAGUUGUUGCAGUUAAAAAGCUCGUAGUUGGAUUUCGGGGCAGCCUGGCUGGUCCGCCGCAAGGCGAGUACUGGUCAGCCGCCCUUCCUCUCGAAAGCCCCGACUGCUCUUCGUUGCAGUGGUCGGGUAGUUCGGGACGUUUACUUUGAAAAAAUUGGAGUGUUCAAGGCAGGCCUACGCCUGAAUACAUUAGCAUGGAAUAAUGGAAGAGGACCUCGGUCCUAUUUUGUUGGUUUCCAGGGCCGAAGUAAUGAUUAAGAGGGACAGUUGGGGGCAUUCGUAUUUAAUUGUCAGAGGUGAAAUUCUCGGAUUUAUGAAAGACGAACAACUGCGAAAGCAUUUGCCAAGGAUGUUUUCAUUAA